rnacentral:rRNA from 1 species
CGUGCAAGGUAGCAUAAUAAUUUGCCCAUUAAUUGGGGAUAGAAUGAAGGGGAUAACGAAAUACACACUAUAUUUUAUUAUAUACCAAAAACUUAUAUUUAAGUAAAAAAGCUUAAGUACAUAUGCAAGACAAGAAGACCCUAUAGAGCUUUAAUUUAAUUAAUUAAAAAUUAAUAUAAUUUAUGUUGGGGCGACAGGAGAUUAAUCAUCUCUCAAAAAAUUAGAUAUACUAAUCAUUGUUAAGAUCAAAUAUUGACUUUGGGACAAAGCUACCUUAGGGAUAACAGGCUAAUUUUUUUAAAGAGUUCAUAUCUACAGAAAAGUUUGGCACCUCG